rnacentral:rRNA from 1 species
UACGGAGGGUGCAAGCGUUAAUCGGAAUUACUGGGCGUAAAGCGCGCGUAGGCGGUUUUGUAAGUCGGAUGUGAAAGCCCCUGGCUCAACUGGGGAAGUGCACCCGAAACUGAGUGGCUUGAGUGCGAAAGAGGGUCGCGGAAUUCCCGGUGUAGAGGUGAAAUUCGUAGAUAUCGGGAGGAACACCGGUGGCGAAGGCGGCGACCUGGGUCGACACUGACGCUGAGGCGCGAAAGCGUGGGGAGCAAACAGG